GAUGAAUGCUGGCGGCGUGCCUAACACAUGCAAGUCGAGCGGCAGCGCAGGUAGUUUACUACCUGGCGGCGAGCGGCGGACGGCUGAGUAACGCGUGGGAACAUGCCCCAAAGUGAGGAAUAACUGCCCGAAAGGGUAGCUAAUGCCGCAUAUGGUCUUCGGAUUAAAGGAUUUAUCCGCUUUGGGAGUGGCCUGCGUACGAUUAGAUAGUUGGUGAGGUAAUGGCUCACCAAGUCGACGAUCGUUAACUGGUCUGAGAGGAUGAUCAGUCAGACUGGAACUGAGACACGGUCCAGACUCCUACGGGAGGCAGCAGUGAGGAAUCUUCCACAAUGGGCGAAAGCCUGAUGGAGCAACGCCGCGUGCAGGAUGAAGGCCUUCGGGUCGUAAACUGCUUUUAUGAGUGAAGAAUAUGACUGUAACUCAUGAAUAAGCACCGGCUAACUACGUGCCAGCAGCCGCGGUA
rnacentral:rRNA from 1 species